GAUGUCCUACGGGGCGCAGCAGUAGGGAAUUUUCGUCAAUGGGCGCAAGCCUGAACGAGCAAUGCCGCGUGAACGAGGAAGGUCUUCGGAUCGUAAAGUUCUGUUGAAGGGGAAAAAGAGCGGAGAGAGGAAAUGGUCUCCGAUUGAUAUUACCCUUCGAGGAAGUCACGGCUAACUACGUGCCAGCAGCCGCGGUAAUACGUAGGUGGCGAGCGUUAUCCGGAAUGAUUGGGCGUAAAGGGUGCGUAGGCGGCCUGCUAAGUCUGGAGUGAAAGGGACCGGCUCAACCGGUGCAUG
rnacentral:rRNA from 1 species